rnacentral:lncRNA from 1 species
UGUAAUUGUAGACGCAAGCAUUUGGAGUGAUCACCGGCGGCUGCGGUUUAACCCUAAUCGCUGAUCGGAUUGGAAAACUAAGUAAAAUCUCCAUUCGCGAUUCAUCAAAAUCAAGACUCUGUCUUUUGAUAUAGUAGAGAAGAGAUGAUCGACUAACCUUGUUGCUGUUGUUGUUGUUGAUUGUCGCCGGCGGCGCCAUGGUGAGCAGAUCCUCCUCCCUUUGCUCCGAUGAAUGCCAUGUUGCAAUUGGUCCUCCUCCCAUCGAUAAUCGGUUCUGUGUGAGCGCAAGCUCUGUAAGCCGCAUCAGGAUCGGUGAACGUCACCUGGUGGUUAUAUUUUGAAGAUCGCACGACGAACGGGUAAGCGUUAUUAUUGCAUGUAACCCCCUGAUUAAUUAAUUAAUUAAUUAAUUACUCACAAAACCAUAUCCUUUGGAUCGACCACUGUAUUUAUCACCGAUAACAACGGCCUCCCAGAUUUCUCCAAACUGAUCAAAAUGACGUUUCAAACUCUCUCUCGUCGUCUCCCAUGCCAAUCCUCCGACGAAAAUCUUCGUGUGCUCUGUGCUCACCUCCCUCCUAUUGCCGGAACAGUCGAUCAUGUUUCUGCGGCUUGCACCGGUGCCGUUGAUCGGAAAUGGAUUUCCAGGUUGGUGCGCCAUGUAUGAUCCGUCUGCCCCUUUAUCUCUAUAUGCCUUUAUAUAUAAUUUACGAUCGCAUACAUGCAUGAUAGAUUGAUAGAUAAACAUGAGGGUCGCUUCCACGUCUCACGAUGGAACGUGGCCACGUGGAUAUUGAACUAUUAAUUAUUUUAUUAACUAUUUGAUUAACAUAACUAAUUAAUUAGCUUAUUAACCAACGAUGAUGUAGAAGCAUGCGUUAGCAUAUCACCACUUUGAUGAUGAUUAUUGAUUAUCGAGUGCACGGUUAGUCAUGGCUACCCGAUUUGAUCGGGUUAAAUAUAUUCACUCAUAUCCUAUUCAAAGUGGUUGGGUUAUGAUUUCUUCUUGAUGACAUCCGAAAGUCAGAUCAAGACUAACUAAAGGAAUAAAAAAAAUACAAGGCAUGUCUGUCAAAAGAACUUCUUAGUUAACAAUGAGUUAGCAGUUGAUUGAAUUAGGAAUGUAAUAACAGAAUAUAAUAUCUAUAAAUACACUGGGUUUCUGAUGCGACGAACCCCAUCGGACAUGCAUCCACAUGCACGUCGAACAUGAACUUCACCGGCAUUCCAUUGGGAUUUGACUGAUCAAUAGGACGGCAUGAUAAAUGCAGGGUGAAAGAUGAAUAACUUGGUAAAUGCAGGAUCGUUAAGAUCAAGACAGCUGCAACAAUCAAGCUUGACGAGAAAAACAUUUUCUCAUGAAAGGCUCAAGUCUUGGCAAAUCUUCGCAGGUAGGGUGUCAAAUAAAGCUCGGUUCGACGGACUCGUUAAGCUCGGUAAGAAGUAUAAAAAAUUAAAAAAAUAUUAUAUUUAGAGGAGAAUAGAAUUGUAGCACAAAUGGUAAAAAUGUUUCCUUAUCAUGCGAGAGGUCAUGGGUUCGAUCCCCCAUGUUUUCAAAUUAAUUAUUUUAAAUUACAGGUUAAAUUCGAACCCAGGAUCGUGGGUUCGAGUCUGAGUCUGGAAAGUCUUUGACGAGCCGAGUCCGAACACAGAUGAUACCUUAACGAGCCGAGCCCGAGUCCGGCUCUAUAAACAAAAAUUCGGCUCGUUUGACACCCUAUCCGCAGGUAUGGUCUUCUGGAAUUUUUCAAUUCGCCAAUAGACGAGUCUGAUCCUCUUGCAGUCCAGCAAGAUCAGCUGAUACUCAGGUGGUUUUUCUAUGCUCUCUCGCCCACCAUUAUUCCUCAGGUGGCAGCAUACACUCCAUCUCAUGAAGUCCAGCUUCACCUCCAACAUGAACUCACAACCUUUAAAAAAGGUGGAUUGAUACUAGGUGUGUUACUUACCUCCUAGUCCGACGGACUUUUGAUGGUGGAUAAAUGGUCACAAUCCUGAGUAACCAUGAAAGUUGGAAGAAAGAAGAUGAUUUAAAAAAAUUAUAGUGACCUGAUAUCCUCUCCAGCACAUACUGCUACUCUACAUUAUCUCCUACCUAACGUAGAACAAACAAUUGAAACAAGUGUGCGAAAUUUGUGUAAGCCAUUGAACCAAAUCUACCUAUGUAUUUCCUACCUACUAUUAAUUUACAUUUUUUGGUAAAAUCAUACGACAAGUAAAUCUAAAUAUAUAUAUAGGGAAGACAUUUGGAACGGCCGGUAGUCGGAACGGUCACUGGUGCGGACCUCCGAUCCGGCCGUCCAUCUCCACAACAAAAUUCUCGACCGUUCAUUGAAUCGAAAUCGGACGGUCGUUGCUCUGUUCGGCGAGCGGAGGUUCCCCGGAGAUGAGUUCCGCGGAACCGCGAUCGAGUUCCGCGGAACUCACGAUGGGUUCCUCUGAGGUGAAUCUCGAUUAGGUUUUUACAUGACGCCAGCAUCGAUCCCAAUUCUCUGUCGACGAGCAUAUCGUUAUGUGAAAGAUCCAAUCGCCGGAGUAGCCAUCUGAACCCAUGAUCACCCCAACGAAUUCCACACAAAGAAAUAACCUCAAGUCCCAAUUCUUCCACCACCUCCUCCUCCUCUUCCAAUAACCCUCGACGAACCGCAAGCUCCCCCGGGACCAGACAAUCGUCAG